AUUGAACGCUGGCGGCAUGCCUUACACAUGCAAGUCGAACGGCAGCGGACCGUUCGGGUGCCGGCGAGUGGCGAACGGGUGAGUAAUAUAUCGGAACGUACCUUCAGUGGGGAUAACGUAGCGAAAGUUACGCUAAUACCGCAUAUUCUGUGAGCAGGAAAGCAGGGGAUCGCAAGACCUUGCGCUGAUUGAGCGGCCGAUAUCAGAUUAGCUAGUUGGUGAGGUAAAGGCUCACCAAGGCGACGAUCUGUAGCGGGUCUGAGAGGAUGAUCCGCCACACUGGAACUGAGACACGGUCCAGACUCCUACGGGAGGCAGCAGUGGGGAAUUUUGGACAAUGGGCGCAAGCCUGAUCCAGCCAUGCCGCGUGAGUGAAGAAGGCCUUCGGGUUGUAAAGCUCUUUCGGCCGGGAAGAAAUCGCACAGGUUAAUACCCUGUGUGGAUGACGGUACCGGAAUAAGAAGCACCGGCUAACUACGUG
rnacentral:rRNA from 1 species